CUGUCAAGCCCAGAGAGAGACGUGGAGAGGGACGUCUUCCUGUAUAGAGCGUACCUGGCGCAGAGGAAGUUCGGUGUGGUCCUGGAUGAGAUCAAGCCCUCCUCGGCCCCUGAGCUCCAGGCCGUGCGCAUGUUUGCUGACUACCUCGCCCACGAGAGUCGGAGGGACAGCAUCGUGGCCGAGCUGGACCGAGAGAUGAGCAGGAGCGUGGACGUGACCAACACCACCUUCCUGCUCAUGGCUGCCUCCAUCUAUCUCCACGACCAGAACCCGGAUGCCGCCCUGCGUGCGCUGCACCAGGGGGACAGCCUGGAGUGGUGAGUGGCCUCCCUGCUCUGGGGCCAGCCCAGGGAGGCAAGUGCCCCCUGCCACAUCUCCAGGCUGCGCACGGCCUCGCUGGCUGUCGUCAUGGGAGCAGAGAAAGGUGGUGCUGAAAUGAGGCCCUGGCCUGCUGUCCAGGCUCCAGCUCCCCUGCCCAGUGUGGGAGGCACUCCCAUCUGCGCACCAGGCUGCGGAUCCAAGGACACGGUGCCCAGGCUGCAAACCCUCUGUUCCCAAGGGCAGAGCAGAAAGCGGCUUUGUCUCUGCUCGGUUUCUGUGUCCCCACCCCCCACGAAGCCUUCUGUGUCUCGGCCCUGGGCCCAGUCUCUCAGGCCUCCCCGGGCCCCCCAUACCGGCC
rnacentral:sRNA from 1 species